UGCAUGUCUCAGUACAAGCCAAAUUAAGGUGAAACCGCGAAAGGCUCAUUAAAUCAGUUAUGGUUCCUUAGAUCGUACCCACAUUUACUUGGAUAACUGUGGUAAUUCUAGAGCUAAUACAUGCAAACAGAGCUCCGACCGGAGACGGAAGGAGCGCUUUUAUUAGAUCAAAACCAAUCGGCGGCGGGUUCGCCCGUCGUCGUACAUCUUGGUGACUCUGAAUAACUUUUUGCUGAUCGCACGGUCCAGCACCGGCGACGCAUCUUUCAAAUGUCUGCCUUAUCAACUGUCGAUGGUAGGUUCUGCGCCUACCAUGGUUGUAACGGGUAACGGGGAAUCAGGGUUCGAUUCCGGAGAGGGAGCCUGAGAAACGGCUACCACAUCCAAGGAAGGCAGCAGGCGCGCAAAUUACCCACUCCCGGCACGGGGAGGUAGUGACGAAAAAUAACGAUACGGGACUCAUCCGAGGCCCCGUAAUCGGAAUGAGUACACUCUAAACCCUUUAACGAGGAUCAAUUGGAGGGCAAGUCUGGUGCCAGCAGCCGCGGUAAUUCCAGCUCCAAUAGCGUAUAUUAAAGUUGUUGCGGUUAAAAAGCUCGUAGUCGAAUCUGUGUCUCGCGCCGCCGGUUCAUCGCUCGCGGUGUUUAACUGGCGUGUCGCGGGACGUCCUGCCGGUGGGCUUAGCCUCCUUCGCGGGGGGCGGCCCAACUACGCAUCCCGCCGCGGUGCUCUUCACUGAGUGUCGAGGUGGGCCGGCACGUUUACUUUGAACAAAUUAGAGUGCUUAAAGCAGGCUCAAACUUCGCCUGAAUAUUCUGUGCAUGGAAUAAUGGAAUAGGACCUCGGUUCUAUUUUGUUGGUUUUCGGAACCCCGAGGUAAUGAUUAAUAGGAACGGAUGGGGGCAUUCGUAUUGCGACGUUAGAGGUGAAAUUCUUGGAUCGUCGCAAGACGGACGGAAGCGAAAGCAUUUGCCAAAAACGUUUUCAUUGAUCAAGAACGAAAGUUAGAGGUUCGAAGGCGAUCAGAUACCGCCCUAGUUCUAACCAUAAACGAUGCCAGCUAGCGAUCCGCCNACGUUCCUCCGAUGACUCGGCGGGCAGCUUCCGGGAAACCAAAGCUUUUGGGUUCCGGGGGAA
rnacentral:rRNA from 1 species